AUUGAACGCUGGCGGCAGGCCUAACACAUGCAAGUCGAGCGGAUGAAGGGAGCUUGCUCCUGGAUUCAGCGGCGGAAGGGUGAGUAAUGCCUAGGAAUCUGCCUGGUAGUGGGGGGUAACGUCUGGAAACGGGCGCUAAUACUGCCGACGUCCUGCGGGAGAAGGUGGGGGAUCUUCGGACCUCUCGCUAUCAGAUGAGUCUAGGUCGGAUUAGCUAGUUUGUGGGGUGAAGGCCUACCAAGGCGAGGAUCCGUAACUGGUCUGAGAGGCUGAUCAGUCACACUGGAACGUAGACACGGUCCAGACUCCUACGGGAGGCACCAGAGGGGAAUAUUGGACAAUAGUCGGAAACCUGAUCCAGCGAGGCCGCGUGUGUGAAGAAGGUCUUCGGAUUGUAAAGCACUUUAAGUUGGGAGGAAGGGCAGUAAGUUAAUACCUUGCGGGUUUGACGUUACCAACAGAAGAAGCACCGGCUAACUUCGUG
rnacentral:rRNA from 1 species